ensembl:snoRNA Snord113l2 small nucleolar RNA, C/D box 113 like 2
CUGACCAGUGAUGAGAAUUCUGGGGUGUCUGAGUCAAUGAUUUUGAUUAGCCCUGUAACUCUGAGGUCCAG